rnacentral:tRNA from 1 species
CGCGGGGUGGAGCAGCUCGGUAGCUCGUCGGGCUCAUAACCCGAAGGUCGUAGGUUCAAAUCCUUCCCCCGCAACCA